rnacentral:lncRNA from 1 species
UGUGUCUGUUUGUGCGUGUGAAUAGUUCUACAAAUCGUUGACUUUUUCUGAAGAGUAAGAGCUUUGUGUUUUCUACUAAAGCAACUCUGGCGGUCCUUCUGGCAGCUUUCGUCGUGGUUUUGCACGUGGAAGGAAGCCCUGCGCCAUGGCCCUCCGUCCCAAAUUGUGGCAGAGUGGAUCGUCUCUGCCCUGAAACCCGUCCUGUCGCCGGCACUAGUCGGUGUCGGAAAGCAGGCUGUCGAAAAGGGUUGACGAAUAAGAAUAUAAAUGAUGUUGAUGUCAAUCCCGUUAUCUCAAUAGAACGACGAACACUACGUUAACGGCUGAACGAAAAAUUACCAAUAAAAAUGUUAAACCAUU